UACAGAGACUGCAAGCGUUACUCGGAUUCACUGGGCGUAAAGGGAGCGCAGGCGGACCGAUGUGUCGGAUGUAAAACCCCAGGGCUCAACCCUGGGACUGCGUCCGAAACUGUCGGUCUAGGGACUCGGAGGGGCUAGUGGAAUUCCUGGUGGAGCAGUGAAAUGCGUAGAUAUCAGGAGGAACACCAACGGCGAAGGCAGCUAGCUGGACGAGAUCCGACGCUCAGGCUCGAAAGUAUGGGGAGCAAAAAGG
rnacentral:rRNA from 1 species